UCCUAAUAAAUCUUAAUCAAAUCCUAAUUUAAUUCUAAUUGAAAUCUUAAUGAACCUUAUCAAACCUUAGAUCAAUCCUAAACCAAUCCUAAUAGAUUUUAGUAAAAUUUUAAUCAAAUCUUAAAUGAAUUCUAAACAAAUUUUAAUUAAAUCUUAGAUAAAUCUUAAUUAAAUCCAUAAAAAAUCCUAAAUCCUAAUCAGACACUACAUAAAUCCUAAAAAAAUCCUAAUAAAUCUUUAAUCAAUUUCUAAAUCUUAAAACAAAUAUUUAAAAUUUUAUAUCAAAUUAAAAAUUCAAUAACUGAUAUUUGAAUCAUUGAUUUUGAUUUAAAAUUUGCACUCCUUAUAACAACUAAGUAAGAAAGAAGCAUAUAAAUUUUGAAGAAGAUUU
rnacentral:lncRNA from 1 species